AUGACGGACGGUCAUCAGUUCAACAACAUCUCUCUCGGCGGCCGUGGAGGCACCAAUACAGGGCAGCUCAAGGUUCAGUCUGGAGGUAUAUUAUGGAAGAAACAAGGUGGUGGUAAGGCCGUGGAAGUUGACAAGGAUGAUAUAGUGGGCCUUACUUGGAUGAAAGUUCCUCGAAGUAAUCAGCUGGGUGUGCGGAUUAAGGAUGGUCUUUACUACAAAUUUACUGGUUUUCGUGACCAGGAUGUUGCGAGUUUGACCACCUAUUUCCAGAGUUCUUGUGGGAUAUCUCCAGAGGAAAAGCAGCUAUCAAUUAGUGGAAAAAAUUGGGGAGAAGUCGAUCUAAAUGCAAAUAUGCUCGCUUUUCUUGUUGGUAAUAAACAAGCAUUUGAGAUAUCACUGGCAGACGUUUCUCAAACACAGCUUCAAGGAAAAAAUGAUGUCAUGUUGGAGUUCCAUGUAGAUGAUACAACUGGGGCUAAUGAGAAAGACUCACUGAUGGAAAUCAGCUUUCAUAUCCCUAAUUCAAACACUCAAUUUGUUGGUGAUGAAAACCGACCUCCUGCUCAAGUUUUUCGUGAUAAAAUUAUGUCAAUGGCUGAUGUUGGUGCCGGAGGUGAGGAAGCUGUUGUCACAUUUGACGGUAUUGCCAUACUUACUCCAAGGGGUCGUUAUAAUGUGGAGCUUCAUCUCUCAUUCUUGCGCUUGCAAGGGCAAGCCAAUGACUUUAAAAUUCAGUACAGCAGCGUAGUCCGUAUUUUUUUGUUGCCGAAGCAUAACCAACCACACACUUUGGUAGUUAUCACUCUUGAUCCUCCAAUUAGGAAGGGCCAAACUUUGUAUCCGCACAUUGUAUUGCAGUUUGAGACGGACAAUGUGGUAGACCUUUCGCUGGCUUUAAGCGAAGACCUUCUAAAUACAAAAUACAAGGAGAGGCUGCUAAUGGGUUACAAAGGUCUUAUUCAUGAUAUCUUUACUCAAAUUUUACGCGGCUUGUCUGGUUCCAAAGUUACUAAACCAGGGAAGUUCCGUAGUAGUCAAGAUGGGUAUGCGGUGAAGUCCUCAUUGAAGGCUGAAGAUGGACUCCUCUAUCCUCUUGAGAAAAGCUUCUUCUUUUUACCUAAACCUCCAACACUUAUACUGCAUGAAGAGAUUGAUUAUGUGGAAUUUGAGAGGCACGCUGCGGGCACGGCCAACAUGCAUUACUUUGAUCUUCUCAUCAGACUGAAAACUGAACAAGAACAUCUUUUCCGGAAUAUCCAGAGAAAUGAGUACCACAAUCUUUUUGAUUUCAUCAGUGGAAAGGGUUUGAAAAUAAUGAACCUUAAUGAAGCUCGGGCUACAGAAGGUGUUCCUGUUUUGCCCGAUGAUGACGAUGAUGCUGUUGAUCCACAUCUUGAGCGUAUUAAGAAUGAAGCGGGCGGGGAUGACAGUGAUGAAGAGGACGAAGAUUUUGUCAUCGAUAAGGAUGAUGGAGGGUCUCCUACUGAUGAUUCUGGAGGGGAUGAGUCUGAUGCCAGUGGUAGUGGUGGUGAGGAGGAGAAACCUGCAAAGAAGAAGCCUAAAAAGGAGGGUACUGUGUCAAAGCCAUCUACAAGCAGGAAAAAGGCAGAUGAUGAUGGAUCGAAGAAGAAAAAACAGAAAAAGAAGAAGGAUCCAAAUGCUCCGAAGAGGGCAAUUAGUGCUUUCAUGUACUUCUCGCAGAGUGAAAGGGAGAAUGUGAAGAAAAGUAAUCCUGGAAUUGCUUUCACUGAAGUAGGGAGGGUUCUUGGAGAGAGAUGGAAUAAGCUGUCAGCUGAGGAGAAAGAACCCUUUGAGGCCAUGGCCAAGGCAGAUAAGAAACGGUACAGUGAACAGAUCAGUGAUUACAAGAACCCUCAGCCAACUGUCGUGGAUUCAGGGAAUGAAUCUGGGAGUAAUUAAGUGCAAAAUCGUUUAAUCGAGUGUGGGAACUUAGAAGGUUGACGUGCCUAAUCAGCAAUUGUGGUUCAUAGUUGGAGGUCUUGCUGCUAAUGUUUUAUGUGAAGCUCAAGUUUUGGGGGAAGUUGAGAAUAUAGGUUUCGUGAGGCACUUCUAAUCAACAUCUUAAUGAAAUAUAAUUGUUCGUGAUAUUCUGGAGUACUCUAGACAUUCCUCUAUGAUGUGUUAGCAUAAUCUAGGAGCUACGUAAAUUCUCCUUUAACUUGGUUUCCCGGAUAUGAAAAGAUCUGUGAUUACCACAUCCAAUAAUUUGUUGCAACACCUGGUAGCUGAAUGUGAAAAAUGUCGGACUUAGACGUCAAUCUCUUCCCAAAAUGAUUAGAAGCGAUUGUAAUUUGCCUUUUUUUUAAUCAAUGUAAGCAAUUUAACUUGCACCAAAAUGCACCACUUGGUUAUGGUCA